rnacentral:misc_RNA from 1 species
CUAAAGAACAGCACCACCACACUCCUGGACCACAACUCCGGCGUAGUACCUCGGUGGAUGUCAGUGUUAAAGAGUCUUGCCAAGUCUUUUAGGGCAGGUCGGUCUGCGGCUUUAAGAAGCUCAGUUGUACAAAUAUGUGUGGGGGCCGCAAAAGGUCACUAAACGUUGAAAAAUGGCAUCAAAUUAGAGCAAAACGGCUCAGAAACAUAGGCCAAUCAUAUGCGUCAGUGUCAAAAGCUCGUAAACAAAUCCAGCUCGUUUUAUAAAAGAUACAUGUACCGAAAAAUGUAAAUUCAAAUGUGCAGAAAAUAUUGAUUCCGACGGUAUUUAACUUAGGGUUUCACCAACCAAAAAAAGGUCAGUGUGAUCUAUGUGUAUCAUAUGAUAAUUCAAACAAUGAGCAAAAACAAGAUGAUAGACAUUAUAAGAAAGAAGAGACUGCGGAUUUUUAUACUAUUUACUAGCUGACCCCGCAAACUUUGUUUUGCCAUAUAUGUUAUUAAGCCCCUUAAUCCCCCCCCCUUUUAACUUAGGGGUAUGAAAAAUAGAUGUUGUUCGAUUCUUAGACCUACCCGAUAUGCACUCAAAAUUUCGUGUGAAUCGGUCUAGCCGUUUCGGAGGAGUUUAACUACAAACACCGCGACACGAGAAUUUUAUAUAUUAGAUUAUUUGUGGUUAGUAAUUAUUUGUGAUUUUAGGAGAUAUUUACUAGAGACUAAUUGAACCUAAUUCUUAUAAUAGUGUAUAGUUUUUGUUUUGUUUAAAAAACAAUAUUUCGCACCCUUAAUAAAACAAAGAUGUAACUCAAAAAUCGCAAUUUGUGGGAAUUGGCGUUUGAAGUUUAGCACUUUUUCCACAUUGUGUUUGAUUAAAAAUUACUAAUUAUUUGUAAUGCUCUUAAUGACUUUUACUAUUGAUAUCAGUAGUUUAAAUUACAGAGAUUAAUAAAAUAAUAGAAAAACAACUGUGUUAAAAUCUAUAAUAGCUGUAAAAUGGAGAUGAAAAAAAAGUUCCGACUUAAAUCUCUUUAUGC